AGUGAACGCUGGCGGUAGGCCUAACACAUGCAGGUCGAACGGCAGCACAGUAAGAGCUUGCUCUUACGGGUGGCGAGUGGCGGACAGGUGAGGAAUAUAUCGGAAUCUACUUUUUCGUGGGGGAUAACGUAGGGAAACUUACGCUAAUACCGCAUACGACCUACGGGUGAAAGCAGGGGAUCUUCGGACCUUGCGCGAUUGAAUGAGCCGAUGUCGGAUUAGCUAGUUGGCGGGGUAAAGGCCCACCAAGGCGACGAUCCGUAGCUGGUCUGAGAGGAUGAUCAGCCACACUGGAACUGAGACACGGUCCAGACUCCUACGGGAGGCAGCAGUGGGGAAUAUUGGACAAUGGGCGCAAGCCUGAUCCAGCCAUACCGCGUGGGUGAAGAAGGCCUUCGGGUUGUAAAGCCCUUUUGUUGGGAAAGAAAAGCAGCAGGUUAAUACCCCGCUGUUCUGACGGUACCCAAAGAAUAAGCACCGGCUAACUUCGUG
rnacentral:rRNA from 1 species